rnacentral:rRNA from 1 species
GAAUCUGGCCUCAGGUCGGGGACAACCACUGGAAACGGUGGCUAAUACCGGAUGUGCCUAUGGGUGAAAGAUUAAUUGCCUGAGGAUGAGCUCGCGUCUGAUUAGCUAGUUGGUGGGGUAAAAGCCUACCAAGGCGACGAUCAGUAACUGGUCUGAGAGGAUGACCAGUCACACUGGGACUGAGACACGGCCCAGACUCCUACGGGAGGCAGCAGUGGGGAAUUUUCCGCAAUGGGCGAAAGCCUGACGGAGCAAUACCGCGUGAGGGAGGAAGGCUCUUGGGUUGUAAACCUCUUUUCUCAGGGAAGAAGAAUGACGGUACCUGAGGAAUCAGCAUCGGCUAACUCCGUGCCAGCAGCCGCGGUAAUACGGAGGAUGCAAGCGUUAUCCGGAAUUAUUGGGCGUAAAGCGUCUGUAGGUGGACGUUCAAGUCUGCUGUCAAAGACCGGGGCUUAACCCUGGAAAGGCGGUGGAAACUGAAAGUCUAGAGUGCGGUAGGGGUAGAGGGAAUUCCCAGUGUAGCGGUGAAAUGCGUAGAGAUUGGGAAGAACACCGGUGGCGAAAGCGCUCUGCUGGGCCUGCACUGACACUAAGGGACGAAAGCUAGGGGAGCG